UGGGGAAUAUUGGACAAUGGGCGCAAGCCUGAUCCAGCAAUUCCGCGUGGGUGAAGAAGGUCUUCGGAUUGUAAAGCCCUUUCGACGGGGACGAUGAUGACGGUACCCGUAGAAGAAGCCCCGGCUAACUUCGUGCCAGCAGCCGCGGUAAUACGAAGGGGGCUAGCGUUGCUCGGAAUUACUGGGCGUAAAGGGCGCGUAGGCGGUUUGCACAGUGAGGCGUGAAAUUCCCGGGCUUAACCUGGGGGCUGCGUUUCAUACUCGCAGACUAGAGGAUGGAAGAGGGUCGUGGAAUUCCCAGUGUAGAGGUGAAAUUCGUAGAUAUUGGGAAGAACACCGGUGGCGAAGGCGGCGACCUGGUCCAUUACUGACGCUGAGGCGCGACAGCGUGGGGAGCAAACAGG
rnacentral:rRNA from 1 species